rfam:Oryza barthii chromosome 11, whole genome shotgun sequence.
AAUAAGUGCAGUUUUAGCACUGUUCAUGAACAACGUUUGACCGUUCGUCUUAUUUGAAAAAAAAUUAUGAUUAGUAUUUUUAUUGUUAUUAGAUGGUAAAACAUUAAUAGUAAUUUAUGUGUGACUAAUUUUUUUUAACUUUUUUCAUAAAUUUUUCAAAUAAAACGGACGGUCAAAACGCUGAGCACGGAUAUUUAUGGCAGCACUUAUU